UUCCCUCCUCCUGAUUGGGUGAACUGCAGCCGGAGCCGCGCCCCGUUGCCCAUUUCCCGCGCAGGGAUUGGUGGGAGUGAUUGUCAAUCAGAUCUGACGGUGUCGUGACGGUGGUAACUGUCAAGUCAAGUGAAGUUAAGUGGGGAGCUGGCCGGUGUCUCAGUUCAUCAGUCAGUCUGAUUGCUGGCGCAGUGAGAGUGGACUUAUUCUAAUCAGGGGAAAAGUAUACAGUCACUUACUAGCGGCAUUGCUGGCUGACCCAACUAGCUAAGAAGGAAAGCUCCGAGCUCUGGUAAAGAGGGUGAUGGUCGCCGACUUGUCAUUGACGAAUCAUCAGUUACUGAGAGGACUGAAGCAGCGAGGCGCCGCUGGGACAGAGACUUUCAUGGGGAGUUCGUUCACUCUUCUGCAGCCUGGAGGGUGGUGAUGUGAAUGAGGAUUGAAUUCCAUGAAUUACUCUGGCUAUCCGACAGCCGUUCUUCACUGGCUAGUUUUAUGUCCGUGUCAAGCAGCUAAAGCUGCCAGUUGAAGAACUGUUGAGGUUGGCUAUUUGCAACGGGACGAUGAAGAGGAUGUGACUGUGUGGCUCUGUGGGCCAGAAGGGACUUAACUGUUCUAGUCUUGUAAAGGACAUGUCUCAGAAAAGGAAACUGACACCUCGCUUCAAUAAAGGAGACUUGGAGAUGCUGGUGGACAGGAGAGAGCCAUCCGCUUCCCUGUGAACCAGCAAAGGAGGCCAUGCCAACAGCACAGCCAGUCUAGACACAAACAGCACAGCCCAGGUCAGUGCUAUUCCACAGAUGAAAAAAAACCCAGUAAUGCUGCAAGAAAAUCAAUGCUUUUCUGUGCUCCACAAGGGUAAGUUACAUUAUCUCCUUUCUGCUACCUUACAUUCACUCUCACUCUGCCACUGCAUAGAAACAUUAGACUUCGUAAUGUUCUACAAUUCUCAUUAUUGCAUGCAGCCACUCAACAGCUCUAAUCCACCUCAUUCUCUUAAACUACUAGCCCUUCUUGCCCUCUGUGAUUCCUACUCAGUCAUUGGGAACAGUUCACCACCAUCAACUGCUCUUCCAUCCACGUUUUGCUCACUUAAUCCCUCCUUUUGUCUCAUUGCAAGAGAAGAUGUAUCACAGUCUGGCAGAGAAAGCCAGAAUGAACAGUGAUGUGGCUAGCAUUCAGUGCCUAAGCCCCUGUGAAGAGAAAUCCUCAAAAUGGUUGGAGUGAAUAGAGACCUCAUGUGGAAGUACUGAGAACUUCAUGUUGAGGUAGUCCAGUAAGAUUCAUUGUGCUAUGCUGCAUUGGACUUUCACUACAACCAGUCAACAUUCUUAAAAUACUCAAAUUUCAAACCCUUGUACAAUUAAUGACCUCUCUCUUUAUUUUUAAGGCAGGCAUCAGCAGCACCUCAUCCCUAUGAGGACCUCUACUUCUGAGGAAAAAGUCACAGAUCCCUCAAAGGAUGCACCAACAAGCUUUUCUCCACCAGCUCAGUGAUUUUCAGGGAUGGUGUUGUUCUUUUCAGGAAGAUUAGAUACAAAUUCACUUCCUGGAACAGCCUCUUCCAAGAAUUUAUAUUUCGACACCACAAUGUUUGGCAAAGUUUCUUUGCAGCAGAUGUCUUGUUUGCUUUAGCACAAAUGUUAUGAUGUGGUUUUUGUGGAGCCAACCAAAUGUUAAUAAAUUUCAAAAGAAAAACAAUUUUUCCACCGUUAAUAUCAAUGAUACGUCUUAAAUUGAGUUAUUGCACACCAAAUUUUACUCUGUUAAAAAGUCAGCAAUUUCAUUAGAAUGAUGAAAUCACAGAUUAUUAUCUCUUUCAUUUUACGAUCUGACAAUCAUGAAAUGGCAAUACCAUACAUUAAAGCAGGACAGCACUUCGUACACAUAGGAACUCGCAAUCUUCCAACUUCGAAAGUAACCCUCUGCUGAAAGGCUCAGUCACUAAACCUCUAAACACUCCUCAAGCAGCAAAGGAACUACCAUUGGCAAAGGCCGGGUAAGGAAUUCAGUGCAGAUUUUUGAUUUUGAGAGGUGCAGAAAAUAAGUUUAUGAAAGGAAUAGGAAGAAAAUUAAAGAAUGGAAUAUCCUGGUUUACAUUUUGUUCAAUUUCUCUGCUGGAUAUUUUUGUGACAACCAUCUUGUUGGAUGAGAUGUGCUACUGAGCCUGAUGGUGAGGGAGCUGAAUUAACAUAAAAACAUUAGUGGUUUAACCCAGGAUACAGCAGAAAAAGCAUCAUUCAAUGUGCACUAAUUUCUCUAAAUCAUACUGUUCGCAUUGGUCCUCACUAUUCCAACCCAGUGUUUUCCCUUUCUGAAACUAACAAAAUAUUUAAGUAAAAUGAAGGAAGUAUCAAGCAUUUUUUGUGGGCAGUUAUGGAAGUAAUUUUUGGAAGUUCUAAAAUAAUGAGAGCUAAAACAAAAGUGUCCUGCAGUGCUGAACUGUGACAUGCACCAAAAUGACUUGAUGUGUAGUAUUUUUUUAAAAAUUUAGCUAUGCAGAACAGCACAACUACAAUUCACAGCAAGUGAAGAAUACCAGGCAUUCUUCAAAGAUUCUUUCCAGAUCAUGAGGAAGUUAAUGUAGACAGACAAGAAUUUGUUUGAGGCGAAAUUGGACAACCCUCAAUCAGGUGAGGGGAUCACAAUUAAUCUGUGCCCUUUUUAUGUAAUGCAGGUCAGCAUCACAUGGCAUCAGACUCUGCUGUUCAUUGACUGCACAUUGGCAGAGGACCCAAAACCAUUAUUUGCUAACACUACUUAGAGCCAAUUUUUAACCAGUCUGGCCAGUAUCCAGUACUAUGUGACUUUCUAUUCAGUUGUUUGUGCCUUACAGUUAUAUUACUGAAGCACCAGCAUGGGUCCGAAGCUUAUUCUCUAUUCCAUAUGCAGCAGCCUCAAAACAACCUGGCCAUAGAAAAUGGAUUGUUUUUUUUGAGUUUUAUUUCCAUGUCCACUCUCUUUGAAUCUUCCCAGCAAGAAGAAUCAGAAAAAGUCAGUAAUACUUUGAAAUGAAUACACUAAUUGUAGUAGUCUUCCAUUUUGAAAUAUACAGGACAAGUAGGACCAGUAUGUCUCAUUUGCCAGUUUUACUGGGUUUUUUUCCUCCAGCAAUGAUUUUUUCUGAAUGCAGAGAAUGGACUGUGUCCACUAUUGUUGAUUAUUUAUAUUAAAUGAUUUGGUUUAAAAUUUAGUGACAUGGUUGAUAGGUUUGUGGAAGUCGCCAAAAUUGGUGAUAUAGUCAACAGUGAAGAAGGUUAUCUAAGACUACAAUGGGAUCUUGAUCAAUUGGGCCACUGGCUGAGGAGUGACAAAUGCAAGGUAUUGCAUUUUGGUAAAACUA